UACGGGGGGGAGCAAGCGUUGUUCGGAUUUACUGGGCGUAAAGGGCGCGUAGGCGGCCUCCGCAAGUCAGUUGUGAAAUCUCCGAGCUUAACUCGGAAAGGUCAAACUGAUACUGCGGGGCUAGAGUGCGGAAGGGGCAACUGGAAUUCUUGGUGUAGCGGUGAAAUGCGUAGAUAUCAAGAGGAACACCUGCGGCGAAGGCGGGUUGCUGGGCCGACACUGACGCUGAGGCGCGAAAGCUAGGGGAGCGAACGGG
rnacentral:rRNA from 1 species